GAGUAAGAAGCGAUUAAUUGCAUUCAGUUUCGACCUGACCCUAGAUAUCUUAUAUCCUUACUCU
rnacentral:tRNA from 1 species